UACGAAGGGGGCUAGCGUUGCUCGGAAUUACUGGGUUUAAAGGGUGCGUAGGCGGGCAGGUAAGUCAGAGGUGAAAUCUCCGGGCUUAACCCGGAAACUGCCUUUGAUACUAUCUGUCUUGAAUAUGGUGGAGGUAAGCGGAAUAUGUCAUGUAGCGGUGAAAUGCUUAGAGAUGACAUAGAACACCCAUUGCGAAGGCAGCUUACUACGCCUAUAUUGACGCUGAGGCACGAAAGCGUGGGGAUCAAACAGG
rnacentral:rRNA from 1 species